GAUGAACGCUAGCGGCAGGCCUAAUACAUGCAAGUCGAGGGGUAACAUGGUUUUCGGACCGAUGACGACCGGCGGACGGGUGCGUAACGCGUAUGCAACCUACCCACAACUGGGGGAUAGCCCGGAGAAAUCCGGAUUAAUACCCCAUAAUGCAGGGGUACCACCUGGUACUAUUUGCUAAAGAUUUAUUGGUUGUGGAUGGGCAUGCGUCUGAUUAGUUAGUUGGUGAGGUAACGGCUCACCAAGACCGCGAUCAGUAGGGGGUCUGAGAGGAUGAUCCCCCACACUGGCACUGAGAUACGGGCCAGACUCCUACGGGUGGCAG
rnacentral:rRNA from 1 species